CCUCACGUGACGCCGACGCCGCGCGCGCCCGGCGGCCUCCGGGCUCCGCCUCCCACCUGGCGGUGCCCCGGAGUGGGCGUCCUUGGGCUCUAGGGCGGGGGUCUCCGAGGGGAGUCUCGGUGGAGCUCGGUGACCGCCGAGACUCGCAGGCUUUUGUCUCAGGGAGCCAGGGACGCUCGAGGGACUGGCUCCCGCUGCCCUCCCCGAUGGCUUGUUUCGCCGUGGGGACGGCCGGCUAGCCUCCCGCGGGGACCUAGGACGGAAAAGCGACUGCACACCCCUCUCCCUGCCCCGUGGCGCGUCCUGCUCCCUCUAGCCUACCCAGGUGGUGCUGCCGAGGUCAGAGGGUUUCGGAGGAGGACUCGCUGAACUCCAGAGAUGUCUCUCCCGCCCCCCAUUUCCUACCGGUCCGAGAGCAGCGGCGCUAGGCGGGAAGGUAGGGAAGGUGGCAACUGGAUCCUGACCCGAAGGAAGGAGGGAGUGAGGCAUGGGGCCCAGGUGACGUUACCUGGGACAAACAAAAGGACGCUAUGAGUAAACAAUCAGACAAAUCCGGAAUGGGGUACAAGAACCCUCCUAGCCUUGGUCUCUUCAAAAAAUUCUGAGAGCAUCUACCAUUGAAGAGGCAUUAAACACCCAAGUAGAAUGACUCAGCCAGUUAGUGCCAAACAGCUUUUCCGUCAGCCACCCAGUUCUGGCACAGUGGAUUCAUGAACAGAAAAGACAUGGUAACGAGGAAAGCUAUACAUGGGCCCACAAGCAUGAUCUCCCACUCACCAACAUUAAUUUAACUAUUCCCGUGGCCACAUGAUCAACCUGCCGGCAACAGGAAUCAUUGCUGAGACUCAGUACUGCACUAUCCCUUGAAGAUACCAAAGAGCUCCUUGGUGAAAAGGCAACCAUAUUGGACUCCUCCCACCCUGGAUGAGGCAGUCACUCAUUUCAACAUGAAUAGACUCAUAUUCUAUGGGUUUGCCUUUCUUGCCUGCUGAGCCUCAGCCAACAUGACUGUCCAAGGGCUUAUAUUGUAUUUGAUCCAUCAUUAUGGCAUCCCAUAUAUCAUUGUAUCCAAUCAAGGAACCCAUUACAUAGCAGAGGGAUGUAGCAGUGGGCAUAUGACCAUGGAAUUGACUUUGGACCCGUCACAUGGCAUACCGCCCAGAAAGAUUAGCUGAAGUACCAGCUUGGAGAUGAUACCCGUGAGGAUAAAGUGCUACUCUCCAGGACGCAGUCAUGCUCUGAAUCAAUCACCAUUGUAUGAUGCUGUAUCCCCCACAGGAGAACACCUGGAAGUGUGAUCAAAGUUGUGGAAGCAGGAGCAUCCCUAUGUACCAUCAAUCCCAAUGACCCACUGGGGGAAUUUCUGUUUUUCAUCCUCACAAGCGUAACCACAGGUUUAAAGGUCUUAGUUUCCAAAGGGGAAACAUUUCUACCAGGAACAGCAAGAGUCUUCAAUGAACUUUAAACUAUACCACCACCCAGCAUUUUGGGCCCUUCAUGCCAAAGACCAGCAGGCAAGACAAAGAUCCUCAUGGGGGUAGUUGACUCUUAUUAUCAAGAGACAGUAGAGCUACGAUUACACAGUGGAGACAGGGAGGCAUAUGUUUGGCAUCCCGGUAUUCAACUAGGACAUCUUUUAGUACCU